AUUGAACGCUGGCGGCGUGCUUAACACAUGCAAGUCGAUCGGUAACAGGUGUAGCAAUACAUGCUGACGAGAGGCGGACGGGUGAGGAACGCUUGGGAAUCUGCCUAUCGGCGGGGGACAACCCGGGGAAACCCGGGCUAAUACCGCAUACGCCCUACGGAGGAAAGCCGGGGACCGCAAGGCCUGGCACUGAUAGAUGAGCCCAAGUCGGAUUAGCGAGUUGGCGGGGUAACGGCCCACCAAGGCGACGAUCCGUAGCUGGUCUGAGAGGACGAUCAGCCACACCGGAACUGAGACACGGUCCGGACUCCUACGGGAGGCAGCAGUGGGGAAUAUUGGACAAUGGGGGAAACCCUGAUCCAGCGACGCCGCGUGGUGAAGAAGGCCUGCGGGUUGUAAAGCCCUUUCGGUAGGGAAGAAAUCUCUUGCUCUAACACGGCAGGAGUUUGACUUAACCUACAUAAGAAGCACCGGCUAACUCUGUGCCAGCCGCCGCAGUAAAAC
rnacentral:rRNA from 1 species